CUAUUGUGUUGGCCUUCG
rnacentral:siRNA from 1 species